AAUACUUAGUGAUCAUAGUAUUCCCUGUGGGAUUCGACACCCAACCCAGUUGGGUUCUAUAUUUGACAGCGACCGCUUGCACUUUCUAACAAGAGUUGUAAUUUGGACGUAUCAGUCGUUGGCCCUCUUUUUAGACCCAAGGCUCGCUCUGCGGGCCGAUCCAGGUGGAAGGCAUUGUUAGGUGGGGAAUGUAGAUGGGGCGGCAUAUCUGUUAAAAGAUAACACAGGUGUCCUAAGAUGAGCUUAACGAGACCAAAAAUAUCAUGUGGAGCAGAAAGGUAAAAUCUCAUUUUAUUCAGAUUUCCAGUACGAAUGCGAACCAUGAAAGGGUGACCUAACAAUCCUUUAGACCUUCGAAAUUCAAAGGUAGAGGUGUCAGAAAAGUGUUACCACAGGGAUAACUGUCCUGUUGCAGCCAAGCAUUCAUAGCGGCGUUGCUUUUUCAUCCUUCGAUGUCGACUCUUCUUAUCUUUUUGAAGAAAAAUUCAACAAGUGUUGGACUGUUCACCCACCAAUAGGGAACUUGAGCUGGGUUUAGACCAUCAUGAUACAUGUUAGUUUUACCCUGCUUAUGACAGUGUCACAGUAAAAAUUCAACCUAGUAUGAGAGAAAAUGUUGAUUCACAUAAUUUUUCACCACACUUGGUUGAAAAGCCAGUGUCGCAAUGCGACCGUGUGCUGGAUUUUGACUAAACACCUCUAAGUCAGAGUCCAGGCUAGAAGCAAUGUAUGCGCCUGCUGUCCGUUUUCCGAACCACAGUAGGGGCCUCGGCCCCCAAAGGCAUGUGUCGUUUGAUAAGCCACCACGACGGAAGAAUCGCGGUGGCCACGUUGAAGUAUAAUUUCCAUCGAGCGGCGGGUAGAACACUUUGCAGAUGACUUAAAUAUACGACUGGGUAUUGUAAGUGGAAGAGUGGCCUUGCUGCCACGAUCCACUGAGAUUCAUCCCUUUGUCGCUCUGGUUC
rnacentral:ncRNA from 1 species